rnacentral:rRNA from 1 species
CCUGGCUCAGAUUGAACGCUGGCGGCAUAAAAAAACACAUGCAAGUCGAACGGUAACAGGCCUUCGGGCGCUGACGAGUGGCGGACGGGUGAGUAAUACGUAGGAAUCUGCCCAGUAGUGGGGGACAACCUGGGGAAACUCAGGCUAAUACCGCAUACGCCCUACGGGGGAAAGCAGGGGAUCUUCGGACCUUGCGCUAUUGGAUGAGCCUACGUCGGAUUAGCUUGUUGGUAGGGUAACGGCCUACCAAGGCGACGAUCCGUAGCUGGUCUGAGAGGACGAUCAGCCACACUGGGACUGAGACACGGCCCAGACUCCUACGGGAGGCAGCAGUGGGGAAUAUUGGACAAUGGGGGCAACCCUGAUCCAGCAAUGCCGCGUGUGUGAAGAAGGCCUGCGGGUUUAAAGCACUUUCGGUAGGGACGAAAAGCUGAGGGCUAAUA